rnacentral:rRNA from 1 species
UACGUAGGGACCAAGCGUUGUUCGGAUUUACUGGGCGUAAAGGGCGCGUAGGCUGCAAUUCAAGUCAUCUGUGAAAUCUCCGGGCUUAACUCGGAACGGUCAGAUGAUACUGCUUUGCUAGAGUGCGGAAGGGGCAAUCGGAAUUCUUGGUGUAGCGGUGAAAUGCGUAGAUAUCAAGAGGAACACCUGAGGUGAAGACGGGUUGCUGGGCCGACACUGACGCUGAGUGCGCGAAAGCCAGGGGAGCAAACAGG